GGGCAGAUACCCGAGUGGCCAAAGGGGUCAGACUGUAAAUCUGAUGGUUCACGCCUACAGUGGUUCGAAUCCACUUCUGCCCACCA
rnacentral:tRNA from 2 species